rnacentral:rRNA from 1 species
GACAGAGGGUGCAAACGUUGUUCGGAUUUACUGGGCGUAAAGCGCGUGUAGGCGGCUUUGCAAGUUGGAUGUGAAAGCCCACGGCUCAACCGUGGAAGUGCAUCCAAAACUGCAUGGCUUGAGUCUCGGAGAGGAAGGUGGAAUGCUUGGUGUAGAGGUGAAAUUCGUAGAUAUCAAGCAGAACACCUGCGGCGAAGGCGGCCUUCUGGACGAUGACUGACGCUGAGACGCGAAAGCGUGGGGAGCAAACAGG